ACUGGUUUCGACACGAUACGUCUGAGGGAAGAAGCAGGCCGAGGUCGCCUUACCUCGUUAAACAGGGGCAAGACGCCUUCAAGCGUCGACAAUAAUUAUGCACUCGCUGCCUAAAUAGCGCAGCGACGUCGCCCGGUAGGCGUCCCCGCUACCGGUAACGACGUCAUUCAGGGGACUACCGGACGGCCGACGGUGAUAGGCCGCGAGGGAAACCUCAUCACCUAGGAAGAGCCACGUGGGUCACCGAUCGUCGGCUCGACCGAAUGCCAACAGGUGACUGAGCCUGGAGAUGCUUCCCAGGGGUGUGUCGUGGACCGGAGUUCGAUCAAAUAGGGUCGCCCCGG
rnacentral:tmRNA from 1 species